CCCCUAGAUGUUCUGGGCCGCACGCGCGCUACACUGAACAGUUCAACAAGUCUUAACCUUGGCCGAUAGGUCUGGGUAAUCUUUGAACGCUGUUCGUGAUUGGGAUAGACCUUUGCAAUUUUUGGUCUUCAACGAGGAAUUCCUAGUAAACGCAAGUCAUCAACUUGCAUUGAUUACGUCCCUGCCCUUUGUACACACCGCCCGUCGCACCUACCGAUUGAAUGGUCCGGUGAAGCCUCCGGAUUGGCGCGCACCUCGGUGCCGCCGAGAAGUUGGCUAAACCUUACCAUUUAGAGGAAGGUGAANUCGUANCA
rnacentral:rRNA from 1 species